UACCGGCCGAUAAAAACGCCUUUUCCGCCUAUCUAGUAUAUACGUCAGCCCGGACGGGCCCCGUCGGUAAGGCUGGGGCCCGCCCGGGCUGACCGGUGGAGUUUUAGGUGGGUAUUAGGCGGCCCGUUGGGUGGAAAGCCGGUAGACGGAAGUAGCCUACCGGCGGUACCGGCCCAGGGCCUUAAACGGAUGCCGGGACCGGGCCGCCGAAUACCCACGGGGUUAGGGACGGUCGGACCCCGGCCCGACCGUCCGAGACAACGUUACCUGCCGCCACCAAACCCUUGGCCAGAGCCAAGGCCAUUCUUCCGGCGCCUAAGAAACCUAUCGACACGCUGCCAACCAUGGGAUGGACGAACUACUCGGGCCAUUCGGACGGAAAAUUUAUCCGGCGGCCGGCCAAUCUGGAUCUGACUAUCGCGACUCAAAGUUCGAACGUAUCUUAUCUGGCUCCUUAUCCGGUCGAUAAGGUAAUUCCUCCCUAUUCGAAUCCACACCACCGCCCUCCUUAGCCCUAACGUUAAGGGGUAGACCCAGACGGCGGUGGCCCGAGUCUAUCCGUUCCCUUCCCUUCUUAUCGAUAGUUCUCCCGGUUGGUGCAAAACCUGUAUCCGGCGAAUAACGGGAUAGAAAAGACGUCUAGAAACGCUUCCCCGGACGGAUCUGCCGAUAAAACUUGGCCCCUCCGAGGCCGUUUAGGCGGUGGAAACGACGCCGGGGGCGGGAAAAACGGUGGCCAUUCGGG
rnacentral:lncRNA from 1 species